ensembl:lncRNA
CAAUCAUACAAGCUAAAGGGCGGCAACCAUAAUGUGUUGUCCAAUGAGGGAACAUAUUGAAGGCUGUGGGCGGGUUGAGGAAUCCGCCAGUCCUUUUCAGAAGGGGGGAGAGCAUCACAGAGAAAGCGCUCUCUAGCUUCGGAUACCGUGUAACGACUCGGACGAAUUCACAUCCCAACAUCAACCAGAGCAGGGGUCAGCGGACCAACGCAUACAACCUGGGAAAUUGGGGGAUUACAUUUUUCUUUUAAAUGGAUUCCUCUGGACAUUUCCUUCGUCGAAAGAAGACCUCAUCAAAUUGACUUCAUAGACACAGAGUCAUUACGCUGGUCACCCAAGAAGAGCCUAGAGGACUGGGAUGAAGGCCCCUGGUUGACUGGCCACAGAGCCCCUCUUUCUCCAACCUGCAUCCAACUCACACAGACUGGCUGCGGUCUACAGACAAGACUGACACUAUGGUUCAGACUAACCAUAG